rnacentral:rRNA from 1 species
AACGAUAUGCAGGAGGCAGGCGGGCUGGUACAUCUCGCAGGUUACAGCCUUAAAAGAAUUAUUCACCCUUGUCUUUUGCGUACUUCUUGUUUCCUUGGUGGGUUCGCCCACCACUAGGACAAACAUAAACCUUUUGUAAUUGCAAUCAGCGUCAGUAACAAAUUAAUAAUUACAACUUUCAACAACGGAUCUCUUGGUUCUGGCAUCGAUGAAGAACGCAGCGAAAUGCGAUAAGUAGUGUGAAUUGCAGAAUUCAGUGAAUCAUCGAAUCUUUGAACGCACAUUGCGCCCUUUGGUAUUCCAAAGGGCAUGCCUGUUCGAGCGUCAUUUGUACCCUCAAGCUUUGCUUGGUGUUGGGCGUCUUGUCUCUAGCUUUGCUGGAGACUCGCCUUAAAGUAAUUGGCAGCCGGCCUACUGGUUUCGGAGCGCAGCACAAGUCGCACUCUCUAUCAGCAAAGGUCUAGCAUCCAUUAAGCCUUUUUUUCAACUUUUGACCUCGGAUCAGGUAGGGAUACCCGCUGAACUUAAGCAUAUCAAUAAGCGGAGAGAAA